GAUUUUAAGAAGAUUCAGAUAGAUGGUUGUGGAGACUUGAUUAAACACAUUUAACCCUCACUGAUUUGGUGACUCACUAAAAUGUUUAAGAUCUAGUCUGUGUAAUAGAUAGUGGUGUGGGGAUGAGUGAGAUUGAAGUUCUUUUGGUUAAAAUUAUUCAGCUUUUUGUGUAGGUGCUGUUGUGUCUGUGAGCUCAGACUUGCAAGCAUGAAUGGCUUACCUUUUGGGUUCCUGCUCAUAACUGUCAGGCUUUUCCCCUUCUCUUGGAGAUUUCUGACCCAUUAAAAGAAGCUUUUGGGGGCUGUCUCAGAUGCAUCAGCUGCUCAUAAAGCAGAUGCGGAACUACUGCAGUUUGGAACUUGGCAUGUUAAGCUCAGGGCUCCUGUCCCCUCUCUGAGAAGUAAGAUUCUUUCCCGAGGUGAAUUUCUCCACUGCUAAUUAUAAGCAGUGCCUGCAUAGAGACCACAGUUGA
rnacentral:lncRNA from 1 species